GAUAGAACGCAGCGAAAUGCGAUAAGUAAUGUGAAUUGCAGAAUUCAGUGAAUCAUCGAAUCUUUGAACGCACCUUGCGCUCUUUGGUAUUCCGAAGAGCAUGCCUGUUUGAGUGUCAUGAAAAUAUCAACCUUGACUUGGGUUUUGUGCUCUAGUCUCGGCUUGGAAUUGGGUGCUUGCCGCUUUUACGAGCGGCUCACCUUAAAUGUAUUAGCUGGAUCUGUCUUUGAGACUUGGUUUGACUUGGCGUAAUAAGUAUUUCGCUAAGGACAUUCUUCGGAGUGGCCUCGUUUCUAGGACGCUUGUCCGCUUUCCAAUACAAGUUCCACCUCGUGGACAUGACUUUUUAUUAUCUGGCCUCAAAUCAGGUAGGACUACCCGCUGAACUUAAGCAUAUCAAUAAGCGGAGGA
rnacentral:misc_RNA from 1 species